rnacentral:rRNA from 1 species
ACGGAAGGCAGCAGUGGGGAAUUUUGCGCAAUGGGGGGAACCCUGACGCAGCAACGCCGCGUGCGGGAUGAAGGCCUUCGGGUUGUAAACCGCUUUCAGCAGGGACGAUUAUGACGGUACCUGCAGAAGAAGCUCCGGCUAACUACGUGCCAGCAGCCGCGGUAAUACGUAGGGAGCGAGCGUUAUCCGGAUUCAUUGGGCGUAAAGCGCGCGUAGGCGGCUUGCUAAGCGGAACCUCUAAUCCGAGGGCUCCACCCCCGGCCGGGUUCCGAACUGGCAGGCUCGAGUGCGGUAGGGGCAAGUGGAAUUCCAUGUGUAGCGGUGGAAUGCGCAGAUAUAUGGAAGAACACCGAUGGCGAAGGCAGCUUGCUGGGCCGACACUGACGCUGAGGUGCGAAAGCGUGGGGAGCGAACAGGAUUAGAUACCCUGGUA